UGAUCUUAGGACCUUAUUCCCUAGGCGCAACUAUAAAUAGUGAGCGUUGUUAUCAUAGUACGGACACGAAUUUCUGGCAAACUUAUGCUUUAAUCAAUCCAAAGCUCUAUAUAUUUUUAUCUUCUUGUUCCUUGAUUUUAUCAUUGUUGUGUCCGGAAGUCUUGCUCCCAAAAACAUUAUUUCUGCUAUUUUAUCUUCAUUUCAAGGCUA
rnacentral:lncRNA from 1 species